GGGUCUCUCUGGCACCAGAGCAGCCAAGCUGCUGGCCCACCAUGGGCCCAGUGUCCUCACGCCUCCCAAGCAGACACCAGAGAUUGUCAGGUUCCUCAAGCAGAUGGUGGAAGGUUCUCCCUCCUCCUGUGGACCGGCACCCUCCUGUGCUGGAUCGCAUGUGGGAUUCAGCAGCAAGCUCUUGUCAUCUCAGAUUCUGAGGAGAUCAUCGCUGCAGAGCAGCUGGGGUGUGGGCAUUGUGGAGGCUGAAGAGAAGACCAGAUCUCUGCAGAUAUCAAGGUGCUGCCUUCUAUGGGGUGUCGGGUGGGUAACUCGCCCGUCAUGGGGGAGUCUGAGCCCUAGGCCCGCUCCUCUGAGUUGCACACGAGACCCUCUUGGGAACAAGAACAUCUGUUUCUCUUCUGGUCAUAUUGCCUCCUUGAUCUCAGGAGUUGGAAAUGAGAAGACGCCAUUGGUGGCGGGAAUGGCCAUCUCCACCGGCACCCUUUUCUUCAUCAUGGCAGUGUCCCUGCAGUAUCACAUCCUGGACUCUGUUAUAUUCCUCACUGGCAUCACUGUGGCCAAUGUGCCCAAG
rnacentral:lncRNA from 1 species